GUCACGGAUUCACCAGUAACAUAUAACCACCCUUACUCUAGUCGCAUUCAAUGAGAACUAUCAUGGCUAGGAACAAUGCAGUUAAGUGCAAUUUAUUACAGCAAUAGGUACACAGGUUCUUUGGAUUGCUGGCGAUAGUUACUGUCUGCAAAAGCAAGCUAGCAUGCAUGAAAUACACAGUUGCGCAGCCUGGAAAUUAAUGUGUUAAAAGGCACACUCUAUAGAGAUUUCUAAGUUUCUGCGGAGACACACAGUAUAACCAAGUGUUCAAAUCUCACCCAAAGGCAUCCCAAUGGGGGGGAAGAGGGGCUCAGCCCAUCAACUAAUCCCAAGAGUCAGGAGGUCCUCGGGAUGGUAUCUCCCCUGACGCUGUAUCUUCCCCAACAUCCCCCCUCUCUUAGGCCAAUUUAUAUUAUUUUCUAUCUUUUAGGUGGAGCUUGAGUGACUCCAGUCAAGCAUAUCUUAGUUACAAUUGGUGAAAAGUUUUCCUGUCUCCGUUUAAAGGAAUAGGCUCCGAGAAAUUCAGAGCGCAUGCUCAGUGAGGGGUGGUCGCACCUUGGAGGCGGGUAAAUUUUGGGAUGGAGGUGUGUUUUGGUAAAAUAAUGAUAUUAUAAUGAGCAAAAGUACACCAGAGU